rnacentral:rRNA from 1 species
GACGAACGCUGGCGGCGUGCUUAACACAUGCAAGUCGAACGGAAAGGCCUCAGCUUGCUGGGGUACUCGAGUGGCGAACGGGUGAGUAACACGUGGGUGAUCUGCCUUGCACUCUGGGAUAAGCUUGGGAAACUGGGUCUAAUACCGGAUAUGAACUGCCUUUAGUGUGGUGGUUGGAAUGUUUUUUCGGUGCAAGAUGAGCUCGCGGCCUAUCAGCUUGUUGGUGGGGUAAUGGCCUACCAAGGCGUCGACGGGUAGCCGGCCUGAGAGGGUGUACGGCCACAUUGGGACUGAGAUACGGCCCAGACUCCUACGGGAGGCAGCAGUGGGGAAUAUUGCACAAUGGGCGGAAGCCUGAUGCAGCGACGCCGCGUGGGGGAUGACGGCCUUCGGGUUGUAAACUCCUUUCGACAGGGACGAAGCUUUUUGUGACGGUACCUGUAUAAGAAGCACCGGCUAACUACGUG